UGGGGUUUUAAAUGUUAUUGUGGUUCAUGUUAGUUUAGCAGUGUUAUUAGUGUUAUUGAUUUAUUGUGUUUUUGUAGUUCAACUAGUUUAGUCAGUUAAGUGCCAUGUUACCAUUACCAUGACUAAAAUAUAACUUUUGAGU